GAGGGAGAGCAUUCAGGGCUUAGGGGAUUUAUUUUCUUCUCUCUUCUGCUCGAAGAAGGGGAAAGAGGAGAAUGUACAUGGAAUUUCAGGAGGUCGAACGAGAGAAAUAGCAGCCUCUUCCAGUGACUAAUUGGAAAAUAUGUUUCACCAAUCCUCUACUCUGAAAUGGUUCAGAAGCAAAUGCAAAUUCAGGUGCUGGUGCAUCCGGGUCACAUCCUUCGAUCGCUCCAUGUCUGAAUGGUUUAGUAAUGUAUUCUUGAUCUAUCUUUUCAUGGUUAAGCAAAA